rnacentral:rRNA from 1 species
UACGUAGGGUGCAAGCGUUAAUCGGAAUUACUGGGCGUAAAGCGUGCGCAGGCGGUUGUGCAAGACCGAUGUGAAAUCCCCGGGCUUAACCUGGGAAUGGCAUUGGUGACUGCACGGCUAGAGUGUGUCAGAGGGGGGGUAGAAUUCCACGUGUAGCAGUGAAAUGCGUAGAGAUGUGGAGGAAUACCGAUGGCGAAGGCAGCCCCCUGGGAUAACACUGACGCUCAUGCACGAAAGCGUGGGGGAGCAAACAGG